AAACUGAUACUCAUCAUGAGUCAGAGAGGCAGGUAGAGACAGGUUCAUUUCAUUGACAGGAAACCGAGGCAGCUUGAGGCCAUAUCCAAAAGCAUAUGAAGUGGACAUGUUGCAGGACUCUACGCUUCUGGUUCUGUAUUUCCCCCAGCACUGCGGGAGGACAUUGUUGUUUGGGGACUCUGUCCCUAAUUCUAGACUGUUCAGCAUUUUUAUUAGUGCCGUGAGCGGAAAUACAGAAGUUGCCAUUUCCUCAAUUACAACAGUCAUAGUAGUGGUAGGGGGAGUGGAGAGACCUUGACUGAAGAACUCUGAAUCAAUAAAAGUACCUUUUAAUACGCGAGCCUGUGGGUAAACCGUAGGAUGCACAGGGCGGUGUGCCGAGAGUGUGGAGGAAGUGCCAGUCCCUGGCCUGUGAAGAUGGCUGAAGAACAAAGUUUUUCCUACCGGCAAAGAGAAGAUGUGAGGAAAUGAUGUAGCCACAUAACGGAAGGAGCGUGGAUCCCUGAAUGACUGCAUGGAGGAGAACCAACCUGCCAACUUCAGUAUCUACCUAGGACUACUAGACCUUCCUGGAAAUAAAUCAUUUGAACAGACAAUUGAAGGAAGUGAAGAUGUGAGUCAGCCCUGAAUAUCUUAGGCAGAGGGGAGAGGUGCUGAAGAUGAAGAAAGAACCCAGAUAAAAAUGGGGAAAAUUAUCAACGUAGAAGAUGGCAGCCAGACUUGAAACGACACAGAAGGGAAGCAGUUCUUCUGAAAAAGGAGACAUGCUGAGUAAACAGUCCCUGAAGUGCUCCUGGCUGGGCUCCAGAUGAGUAAUGAUUUAUGAACGGGAAAUCUGGGUCGGCCGGGCUUCAGUCCCGCGGCGCAGGGAGAUGGAAACCAGAUGCGGAGGCUUCAUCCAGAGGCCCAGGAGCGGCAGCAUGGAGGGGGUGAGGGUGCAGAGAGGGACGCAGACCCACGAAGGACGCAUGUGGCGCGGGGAACACACAGAGAGGGGAGGAGGAGAAGACAGAAAAGAGGAGGGAGGGGAGAGAAUCAACCAAGCCGUCACUCAUGGAAAUAAAGCACCCUUCAGAGUUAACUCAGAAAACGUUUCCUCAGCCGGAAAGCCUGGUGCUUCCUCAGAAUAUACGUUUUGUCUUCAUCUAUGUUCCCAUGGAAACCAGCUAAAAAAGUUCAGACACAUUUGUUGACUUCAGCUACUUGGAGUACAGAGACCGUGUCUGUGUGUGUGUCUCAAUAUACACAACGUGUUUCCAAAUAUGUUUCAAUGAAAUGCUGGUUCUCUUCCAAUUAAAUCUCUGCGAGAGUUCAGUUUCCUAAAAGCUAAAAAGAAGAUUGAUUUUUAAUGCAAUUCUGGCAAAGAGAAGAAAAUUUAAGUGUGUAUUCUUCCUAUUGCCAAACUGUCCAAUACAAAGCAAAUCAGACAUCUAGAACAGGGGUCAGCAAACUAUGGCCAGUGGGCAAAUUUUGGCCCACAAACUCUUUCUGUAUAGUCCACAGGUUAAGAGUGGGGGUUUUUUUUGGGUAGUUGUUGCUUUGCAUUUUUUAAAAGUUGUAACAAAAAACGAGAAGAUUAUAAAACAGGGUUGUGUGUAGCCCACAAAGCUGAAAAUAUUCACUCUCUGGUCCUUUACAAAAAAGUUUGCUAAGCCCCGAUCUAGAAUAUGAUGCUCUUGCCGGUGAAGCUGUUGUACAUGAUAACAGGUCAGCUGGGUAAUAAUUUCUAUAAAUGAAACGAUUCUUAGAAAUAUUGAUAUAGACCCAUAGAGUGCUUUGGUGUAAACACUCAUUUGAUCACUUCACGCUAAGCCACUGUGCUCCGCCCUCGAAGUGCGGAAAGCUGGCGAGUAGCACGCGGGGGUAGACGAACUCUCCCUGGCCGCGCCGAGGGGAAAGCACAUGAUGUUCUGGGUCUGUGCAGAGCUGCAGCGGCUCCCAAAUACAGAGCUGGCACUCAUCUCUCAAACCUCGUAAAGGAGCAUGAGCAAUGGAUAGUGAAAAGUCACAGAAGAAUGUAUCUUGGGCUUUGGAGAGACCCAAAGGAUAAGGCACUCAUAGAGAAGCAACAGAUUGUACCCUGGCUUUGAUCAAGCAACAGAUUGACCCUGACCAAAUAAUGAUGAGAAUAAUAAACAAAAACAAUAACUCAGCUAAUGGUGGCUAAAAUUUACCGGGUGUUUAUGGUGUGCCAGGCAUCAUGCUGAGCACUUUCCUUGGAUUACCUUAUUUAAUCCCCAUAAUGACCUUCUGAAAACGAAGGAACAGACUCAGAGGUAAAGCAACGCUUUAGGAGUGAAAUGGCUAUUAAGAGGCAGAGCCAUGGUCUGAGAACAGAUUCUUUUUUUUAAUAAAAAUCUUUUAUUAAACUCCCAUAAUCUAGAAAAAUAUAGAAUUCUUCUUCUUUUUUUAUAAUUAAUAGACUUUAUUCAGAACUCAGCAUGUCCUUUUCCUAUCUUAUCAUCAAAUGCACUGUACCACAAUAUAUUUAAUCUUUGUCUCUUUAUUUAAUCCCUAUGGCAAUUCCCCCCCCCACACUCAUUUGUUUAUUUAUUUAUUUAUUGUAUUAUUAUUAUACUUCUUAAGCACUGCCUUGAUGGCUUCUUAAGUGUAGAAAGACUCAGGGGGAAGUGUUAUCAAUAUAAAUAUGUAGGGUACAAAUGGAAUUGAAAAACAGGUCGUUACGACCCAUAUUUAUCUCCUCUUUACUUUCAAACCCCACAAUAAUAAAACUCCACGCACUGAGGUAUCACAA